GUAGGCUGCAACUCGCCUACACGAAGUCGGAAUCGCUAGUAAUCGCGGAUCAGCACGCCGCGGUGAAUACGUUCCCGGGCCUUGUACACACCGCCCGUCACACCAUGAGAGUUUGUAACACCCGAAGCCGGUGGCGUAACCCUUUUAGGGAGCGAGCCGUCUAAGGUGGGACAAAUGAUUAGGGUGAAGUCGUAACAAGGUAGCCGUAGGAGAACCUGCGGCUGGAUCACCUCCUUU
rnacentral:rRNA from 2 species